CAAGCGGAUCUCUUAAAGACUGUUCUCAGUUCGGACUGCAGUCUGCAACUCGACUGCACGAAGCUGGAAUCGCUAGUAAUCGCGGAUCAGCACGCCGCGGUGAAUACGUUCCCGGGCCUUGUACACACCGCCCGUCACACCAUGGAAGUCUGCAAUGCCCGAAGCCGGUGGCCUAACCACUUAUGUGGAAGGAGCCGUCUAAGGCAGGGCAGAUGACUGGGGUGAAGUCGUAACAAGGUACC
rnacentral:rRNA from 1 species